GAAAAGACAAAAUUGAAACUUAAUUUUUAUCGGAACUAUAAGGUUUUCAGUUAUAAUAUUUCACAGGGUAGUGAGACAUUAGGUACCUAACAAUUUUCCAUUAAAAUCUCAAUUUCGAAAAAAAGCGACAUACGAUACUUUCGCGAAAAUGCGUCGACAUUUUCAAUGUGCUGCCCUGCCGAUCAUCACCAAGGACGUUUAAGCACGUUUCACCACAAAUUUAAUGAAAUCCUACUAAUUUAUAUGAUUUAACAGAUUCUAAAACACAAAAUAAUAAAAGUAAUCACAAGUUGACCCUCAGCUUCGUCACGUAAACAAACUCAAAACAAUUCGAUGGAAAAAUCACCCAAUGAGCCAUCGGUGCAGCCUGCUAACUGACCUUCACAAACGAGAUGGAACCG